GAUGAACGCUGGCGGCGUGCCUAAUACAUGCAAGUCGAGCGAACAGACGAGGAGCUUGCUCCGCGGACGUUAGCGGCGGACGGGUGAGUAACACGUGGAUAACCUACCUAUAAGACUGGGAUAACUUCGGGAAACCGGCGCUAAUACCGGAUAAUAUAUUGAACCGCAUGGUGCAAUAGUGAAAGACGGUUUUGCUGUCACUUAUAGAUGGAUCCGCGCCGCAUUAGCUAGUUGGUAAGGUAACGGCUUACCAAGGCAACGAAGCGUAUCCGACAGGAGAGGGUGGUCGGCCACACUGGAAGUGAGACCCGGUCCAGAGUCCUACGGGAGGCACCAGUAGGGAAUCUUCCGCAAUGGGCGAAAGCCUGACGGAGCAACGCCGCGGGAGUGAUGAAGGUCUUCGGAUCGUAAAACUCUGUUAUUAGGGAAGAACAAAUGUGUAAGUAACUAUGCACGUCUUGACGGUACCUAAUCAGAAAGCCACGGCUAACUACGUG
rnacentral:rRNA from 1 species